AUAUGCCUGGCUCCCUGUAUGCCACUCGCAUAGCUGCCAGCUCUCCCAGCUGUGGCCGUGUACGUUGCUGGCUCUACUGCGGAUGGCGUGCGAGGAGCCAAGCAUGA
rnacentral:pre_miRNA from 2 species